rnacentral:rRNA from 1 species
CCUGAAUUCGAAAGGGAUUGGAUUCAACUCUGCCGUUAGCAUGAUGGGUCCCCCAUGCCAGAUGGCGCUGGUCGCCCGCUGCGAUUCACUUCGUUUGCGGUGUCGUCACCGGCGAUCACUCGGCUAGGCGGGUUCUCCGGCGCGGAGGGGUGCACUUCCUCCCUAGUAGAAACGUCGCGACCCGUUGGGUGCCGGUCUAAGGCCCGGGUAGGCAGACCACGUGUCCUGAGGGGGUUCCCACAGGCGCGCGGACUCCUGGUGACCCGGCCGGCUGCCCGACGGUAUGACCAGAGGAGUCGAUCCGCUACAUGGGAAACACUGUGGAAUGUGAAGCGUCCGGCCCGUCGCCGACGCGUGUGGGGAUUGAGGUGUAAAACCGGGGGCUCCCGUGCGAAGCACGGUCCCGGCCCCACUGCGCGCUCGGUCCGUCGGUGUCCUCGGACUGGAUCAGCACUCCCGUCUGCGACGCCCACCUUCGGAUGGUCUCCCG